UGCGCCAGCAAGCGACAGUUUGAUCGCAGACAUAAAGCAAAGUGGAGUAUUUGGAAAGAAAAACUUAUUAUACAUUUUAUUGAGUAAAAUUGUUAAAUAAAAUUUCAAAAAAAUUACACUAGUUACUCAAAUUGAAUAUUACAUUUUUGUUUGAAUUAUUUCAUUCAAAUUACUACAAAACAUUAAAGAUAGUACCUAUAGGUCUUACUAUACUUUAUAUCGACUACUAAGUUAGUGAAAGUAUUUUUAUUGAUUUUCGUUUAUUUUGGAUUACGCGUUUGUAUCUUUAUAUUCGCCCAGACAAGUUUCAAUCAUGGAUGCAGUAAAAACUUUUUUCGCCACUAAUAAAACAUCAUACGCAAACAGUAAACAACAAACAGGAUAUGGUGGUCCUAACAGCAAUGUUGUAUCUAAUACUAUUGGUGGUGGUAAUUCUGAUGGGAAAAUAAUACACGAUAUUAAAAGAAAAGACAGUGAUAGCUAUUUUUAUAUAAUGUGGCGAUCUUAACUUAAAAAUCAUGAUGAUCACAACACAUUGGAUGUUUACUUAAUUUUAAAAAUAACUAAGUGAUACUAGUUUAUAGAUUUAGAUUUUUUUUUCAAAAGGAAAUAGAUGUAAGACAAAUAUUUUUAUAAGAAAACAAAAAAAAAAAAAGAAAAAAAUAAGCCAUUUUGAAUUUUAAUAAUUUUUCCAUUAAAAUGGAUAUUUUAUUAAUAUCAAUUUUAAUGUGGACAAUAUUUUUAAUUAUAUUUGGUCCAAUUAUUUUUAUUUUGUGCAUUUAUCUACCUGAAAUUCCUUUUCGAAUUAUAAGAUAUUGUCGAUUGACGUGAUUAAAACAAAUAUACAUAGUUUCUUAAGAUA